rnacentral:lncRNA from 1 species
GAAGAUGGCAGUCAAAAAUGGAAUUGUGUACAUCACACUGAUAGCUGUGCUAAAAAAACUGGGACACAAAGACGUAAUGAAGAUCGAAAAAGGUCUUAAAGACGCCAUGUACAAGGCAAAUGAUAAUAUUACGAAGGAGAUCAGGAAAAAAAAAUUGGAAUAAAAAUUGUUCUUAUAAA